rnacentral:tRNA from 1 species
UAUAUUUAAGUAUAAGAUGUACGAAAGUUUUUGAUACUUUAGGAAACAGUUUAAGUCUGUUAAAUAUAU